GACGAACGCUGGCGGCGUGCUUAACACAUGCAAGUCGAACGGAAAGGCCCUGCUUUUGUGGGGUGCUCGAGUGGCGAACGGGUGAGUAACACGUGAGUAACCUGCCCUUGACUUUGGGAUAACUUCAGGAAACUGGGGCUAAUACCGGAUAGGAGCUCCUGCUGCAUGGUGGGGGUUGGAAAGUUUCGGCGGUUGGGGAUGGACUCGCGGCUUAUCAGCUUGUUGGUGGGGUAGUGGCUUACCAAGGCUUUGACGGGUAGCCGGCCUGAGAGGGUGACCGGCCACAUUGGGACUGAGAUACGGCCCAGACUCCUACGGGAGGCAGCAGUGGGGAAUAUUGCACAAUGGGCGGAAGCCUAAUGCAGCAACGCCGCGUGCGGGAUGACGGCCUUCGGGUUGUAAACCGCUUUCGCCUGUGACGAAGCGUGAGUGACGGUAAUGGGUAAAGAAGCACCGGCUAACUUCGUG
rnacentral:rRNA from 1 species